rnacentral:rRNA from 1 species
UACGAGGGGGGCAAGCGUUGUUCGGAAUUAUUGGGCGUAAAGAGCUCGUAGGCGGUUUGGCAAGUCGGGUGUGAAAACUCCGGGCUCAACUCGGAGACGCCACUCGAUACUGCCAUGACUCGAGUCCGGUAGGGGAGUGCGGAAUUCCUGGUGUAGCGGUGAAAUGCGCAGAUAUCAGGAGGAACACCGGUGGCGAAGGCGGCACUCUGGGCCGGUACUGACGCUGAGGAGCGAAAGCGUGGGGAGCGAACAGG